UACGGGGGGAGCAAGCGUUGUUCGGAUUUACUGGGCGUAAAGGGCGCGUAGGCGGCCACUGCAAGUCAGUUGUGAAAUCUCCGGGCUUAACUCGGAAAGGUCAACUGAUACUGCAGGGCUAGAGUGCAGAAGGGGCAACUGGAAUUCUCGGUGUAGCGGUGAAAUGCGUAGAUAUCGAGAGGAACACCUGCGGCGAAGGCGGCUACCUGGACAGAAACUGACGCUGAGGCGCGAAAGCUAGGGGAGCGAACGGG
rnacentral:rRNA from 1 species